rnacentral:rRNA from 1 species
AUUGAACGCUGGCGGCAGGCCUAACACAUGCAAGUCGAGCGGAUGAAGGGAGCUUGCUCCUGGAUUCAGCGGCGGACGGGUGAGUAAUGCCUAGGAAUCUGCCUGGUAGUGGGGGAUAACGUCCGGAAACGGGCGCUAAUACCGCAUACGUCCUGAGGGAGAAAGUGGGGGAUCUUCGGACCUCACGCUAUCAGAUGAGCCUAGGUCGGAUUAGCUAGUUGGUGGGGUAAAGGCCUACCAAGGCGACGAUCCGUAACUGGUCUGAGAGGAUGAUCAGUCACACUGGAACUGAGACGCGGUCCAGACUCCUACGGGAGGCAGCAGUGGGGAAUAUUGGACAAUGGGCGAAAGCCUGAUCCAGCCAUGCCGCGUGUGUGAAGAAGGUCUUCGGAUUGUAAAGCACUUUAAGUGGGGAGGAAGGGCAGUAAGUUAAUACCUUGCUGUUUUGACGGUACCAACAGAAUAAGCACCGGCUAACUUCGUG